UACGUAGGUGGCGAGCGUUGUCCGGAAUUACUGGGUGUAAAGGGAGUGUAGGCGGGACGGCAAGUCAGGUGUGAAAUUUAUGGGCUCAACCCAUAACGUGCACUUGAAACUGUUGUUCUUGAGUGAAGUAGAGGCAAGCGGAAUUCCUAGUGUAGCGGUAAAAUGCGUAGAUAUUAGGAGGAACACCAGUGGCGAAGGCGGCUUGCUGGGCUUUUACUGACGCUGAUGCUCGAAAGCGUGGGGAGCAAACAGG
rnacentral:rRNA from 1 species